rnacentral:lncRNA from 1 species
UUGAGUCAAUUUUUACAUGUGGUAUGAUGCAAGGGUUGAGAUUCAUUAUUGUUUUUCUUUUUGCAUUUGGAUAUUCAAUUGUUUAAACAUUAUUUCUUGACGGUAAUGUCUUUCCCUACUGAAUUGCAUUGGAAUCUUUCUUAAAAUGAGCUGACCAGACAGAUGCACGGUUUUACUUCCGGGGUCUCUAUUGUAUGCUAUUGAUCUCUAUAUCUAUCUAUCUUUAUACCAAUACCACACUGCUUUGAUUAUUAUACCUUGGAUGUAAGCUUUAAAGUCCAGUUGAGUAAAUCCUCAACUUUGUUCUCUGUCAAUAUUUUGGGCUAUCCGAGUUCCUUUGCCAUUUCAUAUACAUUUUAGGAUAGGCUUUCCAGUUUUCACAAAAGUGACUACUGGAAUUUUGAAUGUGAUCACAUUAAAUUUAUGGAUUGGGGAGAAUUGACAUCUUAAUUAGUCUUCUAACCUAUGGUAUAUCUCUCCACUUAUUAAGAUUUUUAAUUUCUCUCGGCAUUACUUUGUCACUUUUAGCUUGUAAGUCUUGCAUAAUUUUUCUUAAAUUGAAUUUUAUUUUUUCAUGAUUUUGUGGUUUUGUAAAUGGCCUAUUACAAAAUUUUCAAUUAUAAUAGGGUAUAAGAUAUGCAAUUGAUUUUCUGUGUUGACCUUGUUAUCUGCAGUCUUGCAAAACUCACUUAGUAUUUUCUUUUGGUAUAUUCUGCAUAGACAAUUAUGUAUCCUGCAAAUAAGGAAAUUUUACUUCUUCCAUUCCAAUCAGCAGGCAUUUUAUUUUUGUUUCUUGUUUUACCGCAUGAGCUAGCACCACCAGUACAAUGCUGACUAGAUGUAGUGAGGGAGGUAUUUUUGCCUUGUUCCAACCCUUAUGAGUAAAGCAUGAAGGAUGAUAUUAGUUGUGGGUUUUUUAUAGAUACUUCAUAUUAUUUAGAGGUCCAUCAUAUGGUCUAUAUUGGUCAAUGUUCCACGUUUAUUUGCAAAGAAUGCAUUGUAUGCUUUUGUUGGUUGAGUAUUAAAUACAUUACAGUUAGGACCAAUGUGCUGUUAGGUCUUCUAUAUCCUUUUGAUUUCCUGUAUACUUGCUCUAUCAAACAUUGAAAGAGGUGAUAAAAUCUCCAACUAUAAUUAUGGAUUUGUCUAUUUGUUCUUUCUGUCUAAUAGUUUGUCUUUCAUGUACAUUGAAACUGUUAUUAGAUGUAUGUAUACACAUUUAGAAUUGUUAUGUCUUCUUGAUGAAUUGGUUCAUUUAUCAUUAGAUAAUGCACCUUUAUAUUAGUGAUACUAUUCCUUGUUCUGAAAUUUUAGUAUAGUCAUUCCAGCUUUCUUGAUUGUGGUGUGACAUAUCUUUUUACAUUCUUUUAUUCUUUUUACCUAUGUUUGUAUUUAAAGAAGAUUUCUUAUAGACAACAUAACAUUGGAUCUUUUUUUUUUUUAAAGAAUCUGAUCUCUUCUUUUUAAAAAUUUUUUUUAAAUUUUUAUUUAUUUAUGAUAGUCACACAGAGAGAGAGAGAGAGAGAGAGAGGCAGAGGGAGAAGCAGGCUCCAUGCACCGGGAGCCCGACGUGGGAGUCG